UACAGAGGGUGCGAGCGUUAAUCGGAAUUACUGGGCGUAAAGCGCACGUAGUCGGCUUUGCAAGUCGGGUGUGAAAUCCCCGGGCUCAACCUGGGAACUGCAUCCGAGACUGCAUUGCUAGAGUAUGGGAGAGGGAAGCGGAAUUUCUAGUGUAGCAGUGAAAUGCGUAGAUAUCGGGAGGAACACCUGUGGCGAAAGCGGCGCACUGGACCACAACUGACGCUGAGGCGCGAAAGCUAGGGGAGCAAACAGG
rnacentral:rRNA from 1 species